rnacentral:rRNA from 1 species
GAUGAACGCUGGCGGCGUGCCUAAUACAUGCAAGUCGAGCGAACAGAUGAGGAGCUUGCUCCUCUGACGUUGGCGUCGGACGGGUGAGUAACACGUGGAUAACCUACCUAUAAGACCGGGAUAACUUCGGGAAACCGGAACUAAUACCUGAUAAUAUAUUGAACCGCAUGGUUCAAUAGUGAAAGACGGUUUUGCUGUCACUUAUAGAUGGAUCCGCGCCGGAUUAUCUAGUUGGUAAGGGAACGGUUUACCAAGGCAACGAUGCGUAGCCGACCUGAGAGUGUGAUCGGCCACAGUGGAACUGAGACACGGUCCAGACUCCUACGGGAGGCAGCAGUAGGGAAUCUUCCGCAAGGGGCGAAAGCCUGACGGAGCAGCGCCGCGUGAGUGAUGAAGGUCUUCGGAUCGUAAAUCUCUGUUAUUAUGGAAGAACAAAUGGGUAAGUAACUAUGCACGUCUUGACGGUACCUGAUCAGAAAGCCACGGCUAACUACGUG